AAAGCGAAGCUUUACGGCAGCCCGUCUCCCGUUAGGAGCCGGGGAGGCAAGGUCCAGCGUACGGUCCGGGGGAACCUUAACUGUCGUUUCUGUGCCUGGACAGUAGGUUGGAGAGUGGGGUCUGAAUGAGCUACAGUAGUGAACGCCGACGGCUUGUGUUGAGGGCAGGAAAGGGUGCACACAGCUCCGGCAGGUGCUUCCGCGAGGUGAGAUGAGUGCCGCGCGCGCCGGGCUAACGUGCACGCGCACUCGUGCGGCGCCCGCGAGCCCUCACUUCCUACAACCCGAGACCCUCCGGACCCGCGACCCCGGACCCCCGUCCCCUUCUCCGCGCCCGGCUGGGCAGCGGGCAGCGCCGGACCCUGAUGGGCUCUCGGCCCUUACUGCCCCUGCGCCUUGCGGCCCUGAGAACAAGACGUGAGCAGGACGGAUAGCGCCCGGCACUCAUGUCUGAGUUUGCAUUUUGAGCAGUGAGAAAGGUUAAGAAACGAAAUCCUCAUACUUGACAUAAAGGAAAGGGUGCUGGGUGGUCAGACAGCUGUGGACGAAAGGGCUCAGGGGUUUUGGGGUGUGGGGCCCGGGAAGGCGCAUCUGAGUGGUCGCAGUCGGGGAAGGGGGUUGAUUAAGUACACACCGGCUGUAAACAUUGAUUCCAUAUCGGUCAAUGUGGGGCUUAGGUGAGGCGUUCUGACCCAGCAAUGAAACUGGAAAGGUAGGCAGGGGCCAGGAUUCCGGACUUUGGGACGUUUUUCUGAGUCUAUGGGGUCUAUUGAAAGAUUUUAGAAACAAUUUACAUGGUAAGAUUUGUAUUUUAGAAAGGUGACUGAUACAACAACGUAGAGGACCCUGCAAUGUGGAGAGGCAUGAAACUGGAGGUCCAGUGCCGUGAGUUAACAAUCAAGACGUCCAUACAGGAGAUGCAUUGGUGGAUGGGUGAAGAGAUGAUAAAACGGUACGUAUAAUAAAAUGCUGGCCGGGCGCGGUGGCUCACGCCUGUAAUCCCACCACUUUGGGAGGCUGAGGUGGGUGGAUCACGAGGUCAGGAGUUUGAGACCAGCCUGACCAACAUGGUGAAACCCCGUCUCUACUAAAAAUACAAAAAUUAGUUGGGCGUGGUGGCACGCGCCUGUAAUCCCAGCUACUCAGGAGGCUGAGGCAGGAGAAUUGCUUGAAUCGAGGAGGCGGAGGUUGCAGUGAGCCGAGAUUGCGCCACGGCAAUCCAGCCUGGGUGACAGAGCGAGAUUCUGUCUCAAAAAAAAACAAAAAAAUUAUUCAACUGUGAGAACUCACUCCCCAAAAAAAAUGUUUUGCAAGCAACUCAUUGAAAAAUGGUCUCUAUUAAAAAGCACGUUAAUACAUCCAUAUUUAAAUGGCUUGAACUCUUUAUCACCUUUCAUUAUUUUUUGAACUGUGGAGGAUGGCAUGCCUAACUCAGAAAAUAUUUUUCAGGAUAAUUCAGUGGUGAUCUUCAGAAGAAUUCCACAAAAAACCAAAUUAACAGAUGAAACAAUCUCAUAAGCCACUUGAAACUGAAUUUCUCUAGAACAAGAGUCUAUAAAAUUUUUUGAUCAAACACCCACUGGAAAAAUUUUUUAGCGUGGACACCCAGUAUUUGAAGUUCUUGGUAAAUUACUGUGAGUAAAGAUUUAACCAACCCCUUGUCCUUAUCUAUGAACAAACUUCACUUUGUGUUAACUUUAACUUGUCAUAGAAACCUUAUGAAGGCAGAGUGUUCAUUGUGGUAUAAAACAACAUUGGUUGUAGGCCAGGCGCGGUGGCUCACGCCUGUAAUCCCAACACUUUGGGAGGCCAAGACAGGUGGAUCACCUGAGGUCAGGAGUUCAAGACCAGCCUGGCCCACAUGGCAAAACCCCAUCCCUACUAAAAAUACAAAAAUUAGCUGGGUGUGGUGGCACAUGCAUGUAAUCCCAGCUACCUGGGAGGCUGAGGCACAAGAAUCACUUGAACUCAGGAGGUGGAGGUUGCAGUGAGCCGAGAUCACACCACUACACUCCAGCCUAGGUGACAAGAGUGAAACUCCAUCUCCAAAUAAAUAAAUAAAACAUUGCUCAUGGUAAAAAUGACCUCUGACAUGUAGACUGCCUCUGGCUUGAAAGUACUGAAUAAUCUUAAAACACCUAGUGGGAAGCCAUACCUUUAGCCUCUGUUACUGUCUUAACUGAAUGUGGGAAUCUAAAAGACAAACUCAGGGAACUGGUUUCCCGCCGGUCAAGGACUUCCAAGCCAAGCCCCCACCCAUAAUGGUUUGCUCCUGAAUUGCAUUUGGGCCAAAGAGUAGAGCUCUUCCAUGCCUGUACCGCAGUGAAGUGUGUUUCUUCUCCUCAGUCCUCCAAAGUGGAGCUGCUGCCAGGCGUGGCAUUAUAUGAGUGUCAGGGGUUAAACCUAAGAAGACUACCUAGUGAGCGCUGCAGUUUCAUACAUAUCCUACUGAAAAUCUUAAAAGCAAGCUUUGCUUUUUUGUAAAUAAAGCGAAUAUAGAAGUCUUUCUCGUCUCAGUAAUGAUGAACUGGAAAUUCUGUUCCCCUCCUCCAACAAAACAGAUUCUGUGGAAAACAUUUUUUGUUGUAUUGCUAGGUUUUAGGAAUAAUGUUUCCAAAGGAUCAAGAAGGAAGCAAAACGCUGGGCACAGUGGCUCACACCUGUAAUCCCAAUGCAUUGGGAGGCUAAGCAGGUGGUUAUCACUUGAGCCAAGGAUUUCAAGAGCAGCAUGGGCAACAUGGCAAAACCCCAUUUCUACAAAAAAUAAAAAUAAAAAUAGCCAAGCAUGGUGGUGCAUACCUUUAACUGCUUUGCAUAACUACUCUGGAGGCUGAGGCGGAAGGAUCAUCUGAGUCCAGGAGUUCGAGGUUAUAAUGAGCUGUAAUAGCACCACUGCACUCCAGUCUGGGUGACCAAACAGAACCCCAUCUCUUAAGCAAAACAAAC
rnacentral:lncRNA from 1 species